rnacentral:lncRNA from 12 species
UAUGUAUCUUGCAUGUCUGACCAUAUAAAACAUGCAUGCCAAUGGAGACCGACCCUGGGCCUGGGAGGGAAUACAUAAAAGUGAUUUAUUUCUGUUGGGGCAGAUGCAGUGAAAGGGUUUUCCAAGCCCUGCAUGCGGCCUUCCUGUUUCACUGGUACAAAUAAUCCCGGGUUCGGGGUUACUAAUUUCUGCACGCUAUUUCUCACGUGGAUUUAGACACAAACAGCCUUCUAAGGAUGUUGGCUUAAAGGCCCUGCCAAGAGAUUGGGUGUGGGCGGUGUGGAGGAGCCCCUGGGGGGUGGGGUGGGCAGGCUCACUUGGUCCCACCUGGACCGGGGGUCCCUGCAGGUGCCAGGGCUGGAAUGUGGGGCUGCCCUGCUCUUCCAUCAGUGAAGAUGAGACAGGACCCUCGGGGUCAUCUGGGUGAGGACGCGGGGCCUUAAACAGCACCCCCAGCCAGCAGAGGGUGGGGACUGCUCAGUGUCGAGGCAGUCACCUGAUGAGACAAGUCUCCCCCAUCCCAGGUGCCCGAGACCGGACCACUGUGCAUCCUUGUCUCCCACUCCGGACCCCAGCUUCCCGUUCUCGCCCUCCUCUCUGUCCUUGCUCAAGACUCCAGACUUCUCAAACUCAGAACGCGUCAUCUGGGUCAUCUAAGGGGAAAUAUUUUAAUUGGUUAAGAGCCAGGACCUUCAAGGUAGUCCUGUAUGGACGCAGAGAGCCAACCCUGGCGCGAACCCCAUCCCAG